GCAUAUCAAUAAGCGGAGGAAAAGAAACCAACAGGGAUUGCCUCAGUAACGGCGAGUGAAGCGGCAACAGCUCAAAUUUGAAAUCUGGCCUCGGCCCGAGUUGUAAUUUGUAGAGGAAGCUUUUGGUGCGGCACCGACCGAGUCCCCUGGAACGGGGCGCCAUAGAGGGUGAGAGCCCCGUAUGGUUGGACGCCUAUCCUGUGUAAAGCUCCUUCGACGAGUCGAGUAGUUUGGGAAUGCUGCUCAAAAUGGGAGGUAAAUUUCUUCUAAAGCUAAAUACUGGCCAGAGACCGAUAGCGCACAAGUAGAGUGAUCGAAAGAUGAAAAGCACUUUGAAAAGAGGGUUAAAUAGCACGUGAAAUUGUUGAAAGGGAAGCGCUCGUGACCAGACUUGCGCCGCGCCGAUCAUCCGGGGUUCUCCCCGGUGCACUCGGCGCGGCUCAGGCCAGCAUCGGUUUUCGCGGGGGGACAAAGGUCCCGGGAACGUAGCUCCUCCGGGAGUGUUAUAGCCCGGGGCGUAAUGCCCUCGCGGGGACCGAGGACCGCGCUUCGGCAAGGAUG
rnacentral:rRNA from 1 species